ensembl:miRNA
GUGGAACUUGAAGGAAGGGCAGAGUAAGAGGGAUGGGGUUUCCUGGCCACCCAGGGCACACAGUCUGGCACUGGCCGGUCCAAGCUGGGUCCUGUGCCAGGGAGUCUCUGGACUUCUUGAUGUGCCCCUUCUGGGCACUGU